rnacentral:rRNA from 1 species
AUUGAACGCUGGCGGCAGGCCUAACACAUGCAAGUCGAGCGGAUGAAGGGAGCUUGCUCCUGGUUUCAGCGGCGGACGGGUGAGUAAUGCCCAGGAAUCUGCCUGGUAGUGGGGGAUAACGUCCGGAAACGGGCGCUACUACCGCAUACGUCCUGCGGGAGCAAGUGGGGGAUCUUCGGACCUCACGCUCUCAGAUGAGUCUAGGUCGGAUUAGCUAGUUGGUGGGGUAAAGGCCUACCAAGCCGGCGAUUGGUAACUGGUCUGUUAGGAGGGUCAGUCACAUUGGAACGUAAACGCGGUCCAGGCUCCUAAGGGAGGGAGCAGAGUGGAACAUUAGGCAGUAGGCGAGAACCUGGUCCAACGAUGGCAAGUGUGUGAAGAAAGUCCUGCGUUCGUAAAGCACUUUUUCGGGUGAUGAAGCGCAGUAGGUUGUGACCUAGCGUGUGUGACGGUACCGACAAAAGAAGCACCGGCUAACUUCGUG